rnacentral:rRNA from 1 species
GGGGCAAGCGUUGUUCGGAAUUAUUGGGCGUAAAGGGCAUGUAGGCGGUUUGGUAAGUUAAAGGUGAAAUACCAGGGCUUAACCCUGGGGCUGCUUUUAAUACUGCAGGACUAGAGUCCGGAAGAGGAUAGCGGAAUUCCUAGUGUAGAGGUGAAAUUCGUAGAUAUUAGGAGGAACACCAGUGGCGAAGGCGGCUGUCUGGUCCGGUACUGACGCUGAGGUGCGAAAGCGUGGGGAGCA